GACGAACGCUGGCGGCGUGCCUAACACAUGCAAGUCGAACGGGGCUCUUUGGAUCGAGACUUCGGUCAAGUGAAUCUGAGCUUAGUGGCGGACGGGUGAGUAACGCGUGAGCAACCUGCCUUUCAGAGGGGGACAACAGUUGGAAACGACUGCUAAUACCGCAUAAUGUGUUUUGGGGGCAUCCCCGGAACACCAAAGAUUUAUCGCUGAAAGAUGGGCUCGCGUCUGAUUAGCUAGUUGGUGGGGUAACGGCCUACCAAGGCGACGAUCAGUAGCCGACCUGAGAGGGUGAUCGGCCACAUUGGAACUGAGACACGGUCCAA
rnacentral:rRNA from 1 species